rnacentral:lncRNA from 1 species
AACUAUUGAUGAAAUAAAAUUUUAAUAUGACUUAUAUGAUGUAAAAGCAGGAAUAAAAGAUUAACAUUUUUAUAUGAUUCUUGUAAAAUUAAUAGUUUUUUUUUUAAAAACAUAAAUACUAUUGUAAUGUUGUAAAAGUUUUUGCUAUACUACUACCGAAGAGUAAGAAAAUAAAGACUUCUAAAAAGAAAAUAUUUUUCAUCUAUAAAUUUAGUGGUUUUGCUUCCACCCAAUCAACCUACAUAUGCAAUCUAUUUCUAAAGUUAUAAUGUAAGUAAUUUAUCAACAAUCAUAAACUUAAUAAAUUCAUAAGUGGACGACUGGAAAUGCACAAAAGAAUUCGGGCAGCAAGUAAUAAAAGGUUUCCAUCUAUGAAUUUCUGCUUUAAUAAGCUCUAACAAAGUAUCUUUUUCAAUGAAAAAGUAUGGUACUCUAGCUUCUCUCUUGGAACAUUCGAAAUUCUAAUUCAAAGCAACCUACAGAAUAAAUUUCCCUAUAAAUACACUUCCAUUAUAACUAUUUAACUUAGACAAGACUUCUAUCUACCACGGUCAUCUAUCAAUUUAUAAAAAAUCAAGGCAUGGCACUAAAUACUACACGGCGCCUUCAAUUCAAAUUUUAUUCAUCUUUAAAGUUAAUAUAAAUCUACAUGUCCCCAACACAUAUAUUUUAAAGAAUUUUUAAAGUUCAUACAAAGUUAGGCGUUUUCAACUUAAAUAAUUUUCAUAUUAGAUAAGAAUAAGAAAAAAAUAUCUCUAGUCUACAUACUAAAGGAAGAAACUGGUUACGUGUGAAAUUGUGCCAAACAUAAACAAUAACUUGGACAAUCUCCUCUCUUAUAGUAAAGGCAGAUACUAUUUUAUUAUUAUAUACUAAUUAAAUAAAAUAUAUUCUAUACGAAGAAAAGUAAUCCCCUCUCCUCACACACAUAAACAUGUAUGUAUGUAAAUGUGUAUGAACACAUCUAUUUAAUUUUCACACUCUAUUAACAUUUUUUUUGCGUCCAGUGCAAUUUCAUUUUCUUCUACAGUGAAUGAAAAAUGGAGUGAAAUAGUGAUUUGAAAUUGUUGAAGUUGGCUAUGAAUGAUGAUAGUUGAUUCCUCACCAGCUUCGAAACGACGAAAAUUCAUGACCUUCAACCUCAUGAACCAUGAUAUGUAAACGUAGAUAUAUUUUCAUGCAUGUACAGAAACGAGAACAUACCUUAUAUGGAGCUAAAGAAAGACGAACCCAGCUAGAUUUUCAUCUA